GGCUCUGAGGUGUGUACACAUCGCCCCGUCGCUCUCAUUAUUGAUUAUUCUAUUUUAUUAUUUUAAAGUAGCUCCAAUUUAGAUGAGAUAAGUCGUAACAUAGUAGAUGUACUGGAAAGUGUAUCUAGGAAGAGUUUC
rnacentral:rRNA from 1 species